ACAUAUGCACACACGGGACCAUCUGAACGGAGCCUUUCCAGAGCGCGCAGUAGGAGUGUUGGCUCACCCAGCUCCUGUACCCCACCCCGGAGCCCGGAGCCGGGCGCCAGCUGCUGCUGCUGCUGCUGCUGCUGCUGCAGCUCCUGGCGACUCACUGACCGCCUCCGGGGACACCCCGGAGCCCCGGAGCCAGCCUGACGAGCGGAGCGCAGCGGGGACCUCAAACACUGCUGACGCUUCCUCUCUAACUCACGCUGACGCUCACACACAGCCCACCGCCACACUCACGAGCACACAUCCCCGGCGGACACCCUGCACCAUCUGGGACUGGGAAUGGAAGGCCAGGCAGAGUGAGACGAGGUCGUUCAGUCCUCGGGGCUCUGGUUUGCUUCAAGUUCUUCUGCCCUGGCUCAGACUCCAAAAACACACAACUUCCCUCGGGGGGCCACAAGUUGUCCCGCGGGGAGUUUCACUGCCCCACAAGCUACAGCUUUGAGGUCGCAGGGGGUGUUAUUUCCCCCAUAAUUUCUAAAUUACAUGGGGUAUAGGGAAAGUGGCACCGGAAUUGGCACUCCGUAACUACCUCUACAUCCAAUCAAUCAAUAAGCAUUGAUUAAGGACUUGUACAUUUCUUCCAGGCUCUGUGCAAGGGGCUGCUCAGAGAAAGAUAAAAGUGAAACAGCUGCAACAGCUGGGGGAUGAGGUUAUGGGAAGAAAUGCUACUUAAAACUGUGCAGCAAUAUCAGCACCUCGAGCGUAAGGCCUUUCGUUAUAUCCCAGGUGCCUAGUACACCGUGUCUGUCACACAACAGGUGUUCAGCAAAUGAACGACAAAUGCAUGAUCGUGUUCAGACUCGGUGAGCCUGUCUGGCCUCAGUCUCCUCUUCUGUAAAAUGAGAGAAGCGCACUAGGUGGCAUGCACGGUGCCUUCCAACUCUAUGUCCGUGAUUUAGGAACUUCCGGUCCAUCACUCUGCUCACCUAUGAAACACCGGGGUUGGGUUAGAUGUUCUCUGAGGUGCUGUGAUCUUCUUCAGAAGCUGUCUAAGAGUUCACUCCAUUGCAGGGGUAUCUCUGUAUAACUUUGAAACAAAGUGGCUUGAUGAGAAUGGAGAAGACAAUGCAAAGACAGCAGACGCCUAAGCCCACAACCUUCCAAAAUCUCUUCAGAUGCUCUUAGCAGAGUCCGUGUACAUACUGCUCAAUCAGUGGUUGUUAACUGACUAAGGAUACCUAUAGAAAGAGAGACUGCUUGGUGUUACCUUCUUCCAGUGGAUCAAAGUACAUGAACAAACAGCUCUCAAAGGAAGAGUUGUAAUCUACCAACAAUCAGAUGUUCCAAAAUCAACAAAGAGAUGGCUUCCUUUCAUGUGAAUCCCACCCUUUCUGUGCAGGAAGGAGAAAGGACUGUGCUCAAGUCCUUGGAAGCCACUUCUGAUCCAGACAACUGCAGCUGCCUCAGUUGUACAAGACAUUCAAGGGUCUAGUCUUGGUGAGAUCAUUUGCAAAAGGGCUUGUUGGAGCUCUCCACUUUCUUUUUUAUUGUUCCUUUAAUGCUUUGUUUAUAUUUUUAAAUUCUGCAUCCCUUUGAUUUCUAAAUGCAUCCCUCUCCUAUCCCUACCCAACAAGCCAUUCUUUGUACCAGAGAGAGAAAGAGAAAGAGCUACUUUAGUAAAACUGACCAGCAUAUCAGCCACUUCCAACAGUUCCACAUCCAUUGUUCUCCACUUCUGCAAAGAAGAAUCCUUUCAUCUUUAUCCUGCAAUUGUAAAAAUCUAGUUCUAGCACUUAUUUGUUCCUUAGAUUAGAGGCUAGGGGAGAAGGCUGGACUUGGUUUGAAGGGAUUAAGAGGAAAAUGGGCAGAAUGCAUAGUGAGAGAAAAGAAUAUUUAACAAAAGGAAGGAAAAUGACUGAAUAAGAGGCUUGUGGGAGCUACUUCUCUGUGGUAUCAAACUUCUUGCCUCAUCAUCUCGUCCUUGAGUCCAUUCUCUGGAAGGUGCUGGGAUUUUAUGGUCAUAUGAUACAUCUGAGAGGUAGAGAUUCUGAUUCUGAGACUGGGCCUAAUGGACAUUCUAAGAUUAUUAAUGAAAUAAUAUUCAUCUAGAAACAAAGUAGAUUCCCAUUCAAUGGAAAAUGACAAAACUAAUUGGGGUACAUCAAUAUGAUGGCAUAUUUCCUUACUAUAAGAAGCAAUAAAUGUGAAAAAUUCAGAGAACCAUGGGAAGACUUAUGUGAACAGAUACAGAAGGAAAUAAGCAGAAUCAGGAAAAUGAUGUUCAUAAUUAUAACAACAUAAUUGGAAAUAACAAUGAAGACAACAAUUAAAACUCUUAAAAACUUUAAUUAUAAUAACUAAAGUUGUUUCCAAAGAACAAAUAUGAAAAUGUAAUUCUUUGCAGAGGUGUGGUGCAUGAGUGUGGAAGACUACAUAUCCUAUCAUACAAAAAAAAAAUGUACCAGUGAAUUUGGCUGAUUUUUUUUCUUCUUUUUUUUUCUUCCCUUGGUUAUAAGGAGUGGUUCUCUAAAUAGGGGAGGGGGGGACA